GAGAGACUCUCCAUGACCUUCUGUGGGUCUCUGUGAGCCUCUAUAUCUCUGCAUUAAUUGUAUGGGCAGAAGUUUCUGGUUAAUUUUGGUUGCUACUGCUUUCUUUACAUUCAGAAUAAAGCAGAAUAAAAGGUAGAGAAGUAGAAAUUGCAGCUGAUAGAGUGGAGGGUCCGGUCUGCCAUGUGACAAGAGCACUAUUUUUGGGAAGACUUCAGAUCUGCUUUCAAGUGACCACACAAGAGAUUGCAGAAGGAACAUUGCACAGCUAUGAAGAAAAUGAGCAUAACUCUAUGCAGUAUUGAGCCCUAAGUGUAUGCUGACAUGGGAUGAAAAGCUGCUCAGAGGCCUCGAU
ensembl:lncRNA